AAUGAAAAGCCUCAGCUGAUGUGAAUGGACAGGCCAAAUGCCUGGGACUUGCUGGCCUGAGAAUGAAAAGGGAAGUUUUCCUGCACAAACUCUUCUCUUGACUGCCACCACGUGAGACAUCCUUUCACCUUCUGCCAUGAUUGUGAGACCUCUCAAGCCACAUGGAACUUUACAGGUUUGUGUGAGGCCCAACUUUCUUCAUCUACUUCAACCAAAACAAUGUAUCAUCUCAGACUGGGUGCAGAAGCAGCUAUGGAACCACAGCUGUUUUCUAUUAAGCCAGACAUUAAAGCAACUUAUAAAAAUGUGAAACGAUGCCACUCUUCUCACUAAUAUUUUCAUUGAAAGUAUCUUAUUUAUAUUAUUAUAUAAAGGGCUUAUUUUAAUAAAGAAAUAAAUUCUUAAAAUCUUUCUUAACUUUAAUUUCUAGUACAAUAAACAUUAGCUAUUAAUAUAACCCAUGUAAACAAAAGCUCUUUGGAGUCCUCAAUAAUUUUUAAAGAGUAUUCAUGGGUCCUGAGACCAAAAUGUUUGAAAAUCAUUUCCUUGACCUUGGUUUGAUUCCUUUCUAAAAAAUCACCAAAUCUAAAAAUAUGAACUACAUAGUUGAACCUGUAAGUCAACAAUCAAUUGUACUGUUUAAGAAAAUCUUACUAACAGGUAUGGAUUGGGGAUUUUUUUGAAGCCUCUCU
rnacentral:lncRNA from 10 species